AUACUUACCAGGCAGGUGAGAUAUUGUGAUUAUGAAGGUGGUUUACCCAGAUUGGGGCUUAUCCAUUGCACUCUGGAUAUUCUGACCCCUGUGAUGUCCCCUAAUGUGGAAAACCCAAAGGCAUAAUUUGUGGUAGUGAGGAACUUUCGUUUGCACUCUCCCUCA
rnacentral:snRNA from 1 species